GACGAACGCUGGCGGCAGGCUUAACACAUGCAAGUCGAACGCCCUCUUCGGAGGGAGUGGCAGACGGGUGAGUAACGCGUGGGAAUCUACCCAGUACUACGGAACAACAGUUAGAAAUGACUGCUAAUACCGUAUACGCCCUUCGGGGGAAAGAUUUAUCGGUAUUGGAUGAGCCCGCGUUUGAUUAGCUAGUUGGUGAGGUAAUGGCGUCACCAAGGCGACGAUCAAUAGCUGGUCUGAGAGGACGAUCAGCCACACUGGGACUGAGACACGGCCCA
rnacentral:rRNA from 1 species